CUUUCGACAGCUCCCUGCUACCCAGUUGCGCAUGCGCAAUUGAACUUCCGCUUUCACUUUAUCUCAUCAUAACAAGCUAGACGCUCAGUAAGGAUUCAGCGAGGUAUUCGACGCUCAGUAAGGAUUCAGCGAGAAUCCUCCUAACCAGUCAGCCAGCUGGGGUGAUUCUUUAUAAGCACCCUGGUCAACCAGUGGAUAUAAUCUGAAUGUAAAUCCUUCUGCACUCCCCAAAUGUGACCUACACAAUAUCAAGAUAUCAUGUACGGUGGGACUGCUGACUUAAGAGUGUCAAAUAGAAGCUCUCACUUGAUCCAGACAGUGACAUAGCUACAACUACUCUCCGAGUAUGAUCACCCACAUGCUCUCGCAGUAUGAAGAAACUGAAAUACCCACAUGAGCCAGACCCUGUUCUUUCAUCCAUUGCUUUGAUAACCCACUUAUCUGAUGAUGAUUGAGAAAAAUGUGUCCUAGUGUCUGUAAUAAACUUUCCAGAUUUCAUCAACUCUUCAUUGAUGGGUUGUUUGUAGAUAUACUGCAGAAGACCUCUGAUGUGAAUGAAAUUUAGUUUUGUAAGAGUGGAGCAUGAAGUACAUCCUUUGGAAAUCUCAAAGGAAGC